rnacentral:rRNA from 1 species
UACGAAGGGUGCAAGCGUUAAUCGGAAUUACUGGGCGUAAAGCGCGCGUAGGUGGCUUGAUAAGUUGGAUGUGAAAUCCCCGGGCUCAACCUGGGAACUGCAUCCAAAACUGUCUGGCUAGAGUGCGGUAGAGGGUAGUGGAAUUUCCAGUGUAGCGGUGAAAUGCGUAGAUAUUGGAAGGAACACCAUUGGCGAAGGCGACUACCUGGACUGACACUGACACUGAGGUGCGAAAGCGUGGGGAGCAAACAGG